AUUGAACGCUGGCGGAAUGCUUUACACAUGCAAGUCGAACGGCAGCACGGACUUCGGUCUGGUGGCGAGUGGCGAACGGGUGAGUAAUACAUCGGAACGUGCCCGGACGUGGGGGAUAACUACUCGAAAGAGUGGCUAAUACCGCAUACGAUCCAAGGAUGAAAGCGGGGGAUCGCAAGACCUCGCGCGUUUGGAGCGGCCGAUGGCAGAUUAGGUAGUUGGUGAGGUAAAGGCUUACCAAGCCCGCGAUCUGUAGCUGGUCUGAGAGGAUGAUCAGCCACACUGGGACUGAGACACGGCCCAGACUCCUACGGGAGGCAGCAGUGGGGAAUUUUGGACAAUGGGCGAAAGCCUGAUCCAGCCAUUCCGCGUGCAGGAUGAAGGCCCUCGGGUUGUAAACUGCUUUUGUACGGAACGAAAAAGACUCUUGCUAAUACCAGGAGUUCAUGACGGUACCGUAAGAAUAAGCACCGGCUAACUACGUGCCAGCAGCCG
rnacentral:rRNA from 1 species